UCCUUCUUCCAUCGAUCCCCUUCUUCCUCUCUAUACAGGAGGACGUCUCCCACCGCAGAUCAAUGCGCCGCCGCCACAGACCAGGUCUCCUUCCUCUUCUUCGAUCCAAGGCAAUCUCUUUCCUGUUCUUUAGUCCAAUCCUUCUAUUUCCUGAUCCAAUCCUUCUUUAACCUGAAACUGUCCGGGGCUCACCCGAUCUCCUCCACCAGCGUGGCCACCAUCCUGAUCCCCUCUUUCUUCUCUACCAUGAGCGCCUACUCAGCCGAGAUUCGCCCGCGAGGAGAGGCAGGGAGCAGCAGCACGCCCUGGGCAUCCCGUGAGCCCGCCUAAUCCCGCUGUUGCCCUCCGAGAUUCGCCGACCAUAAGCAGUUCCGCGUGCACGGCCAUGGAAAGACCUCCAAGCCGCCGCCGAUUCGUGUACUUCGAGGGCUGCCACCCACAACGAGGAACACGAGCGUGGUGCGUCGACGUGGCAAACCCGUUCUCCUUCCUCACUACCAUGUGCAGUUCGCCGAUGCCCGUCGCUAACCCAGUCCUUACGCGAACGACACAAUCUGGACCCUGGCAGCAGCUAUCGAUGGGAGCAUCGUGCAAAAAUAGUGUGUGAAACUAUCGUGUGCACAACAAUUCUGUUGGUUGUAUGAUCUAGAGUAGUUUCUUAGGUGGUGAUGUGCUACACUAGAUAUUACCUAAUGUUCUCCUGUGUACUCAGCUUGGGACUAGGCAGUAUGUUAUAGUGAAUUAAUAUACAGGUCGCACACACCUUGUGUUGGAUGCUUGAAAAAGCAAUGCAAAAUAGUCUUUGUAUUGUGACUCGUGAGUCAACACUUUUGGAUCCCAAAAUAUUCAGUUGAAGCGUGAGUGAUCAUCUGCAAGUCAGUAGGAAAUUUUAAUUUGAUGUUAGCACAAGUAUGUAUGGUGUCAGAUGGUUGAAAAGGAACUGGAGAUGGUCUUUGUGUCCUCAACUUUUGGCCCUUUAGUCAACACCCCUAAGCAUUUUUCUUGAAGGGCACAAGAACCUUAUUUUGGCCUAGAAGAGAUUUGCCAGACUGCUUGAUGAUUCUGCCACCUAAUAAACAAGUAAAUGGAUUUUGUAUCCUGAAAAUAGAGGAAAAUAAUAAACACCAAGAAGAUCUGAAUGGUGUUAUCCAUGCUUGCUUCUAAGUAGUGUAUGUUCAUUAGCACCACAAUUCAUGGAUUUAAGGGCUUCCAUCUUUCAUGUGUGCGUAUUUAAUGUUCUAGGCAGUCACUUCACAUAGCUGGUCGGGCUCUAAGCUUGCUCUGCUCGUUGUCGGUUACUACUAAAUAUUGCAUUUUUAUCUACUUGGUGCUCUUCGAAGUAUGCUUAUUAUGUUUGUCGUUCUUUAUACAAGUAAGUUGAGGUAGAUAACAAAAGUUGAGGCAGAUAACAAGGGCUCAGAUUGGAAAAAAAUAUACGUUAUGAUGGUAAGAAAAGUAUUAGGAUUUUAGUUAGUGAAUGACUACAAACAUUAUAAGAUCUUGAUGAGAUGCUUGACAUGACCGGAACAGUUAACUAGACAUGUAUCAUGAGUACCGUGCUCAAAAUGUUUUACUCAUGCUUCCAUGGAUCUUGGUUAAGACUAAAGUUCGUAUGAACUAUGAACGUGUUUUGCAGAUCUAUUCGUCACUAAAUUUGUAUACAGACUAAUUUCUUCUCCCGUUGCAACGCACGCCAUAUUUGCUUUAGUAAAUAUAUAUAUGUAUGCUGUUCUUUGCUCUGCUUGAGGCAAUUUUGUUCAGAGUGAUAUGAUUUGGAUCAGUUAUGUGAUGUUUCUGUUAUGCUUUUCGUCUCCUGCUCAAGAGAAAAAUUAUUAGAUAUUUCUACUGUUUAUUGGUACGGCCACUGAUUAUAUUUAUUGUUGCUAUCCAAUGCAGAUUAUCAUGAUUGCAUGAGAGAUUAAUACCAUUGUACCAUGUGUGCUAGCUAGAAACCGUAGGGUGAUGCUUGGUGUAUUCUUGUGUAGUUGUGUUUUCAUCGGAAAAACAAGGAUGUGGGUCAGACUCCAGUUCAUCACGACUCCAUUAACGGAGUUUGACCACUCUGAAAAAGGUGAUGCUCUGUAUGCAAUGGAGUUUGGCUCUUGCUCUCGAAAAGAUGGUGAACAAGAAGCUGCCCAACCUGCACACUAGGGAAGAAGUUGUGGUGGCGGCGAAUUAUGCAGCCAUUGUCUCUCACGACCGCCGGCCCCUGCUCGCGACGUCUCUACUGGAGCCGCCUCUGCCUACUCUGGUGUGUUGCAGCUCCUUACUCUAGCCACAUGCUGCUUGCUCUCCCGCUAGCCUCUGCCUCCUGUGGUCUCGAAGUUGAUGACACCCUGAUGCAAAGCUCCCACAAUCAUCCGCUCCGUCUCAGCAAAAAAACAUGUCCAGCUGCAGAAAAGGAGUUUGUAUCCAGCUUGACCUCCAUAGCAGGAAGAUUUUAGUAAUCGUUCUAUCAAUGUUCUAUUAAUGGACAGAGGAGGGGAGCAAUGGAAAUAACACCCCGUCGCGGUCCUGGUGCUUCUCUCCGUGGGUUCGCUUGCUCACCUCGGCAUUUGCGGCUUCUACAGACGGUCUUGACAGGAAGGACUGAUCAGCCACUGUGCUGGAGUAGACUGUGUGACAUGUUUUUUCCUCUCUCUCCUACCCGUGAUUGGUUUCUUUGGUGAAGAAAGCAUCACUGUCUUUCAAUACAUGAUGGAUGCUCAACCUGUAUGUCUACAUGGUACAAGAAUGAAGAUUAACUGUUCAAUCUAUUGAUUCAGAGUGAUACAAGGGUGAAACAGAAUAAGCUCAUUUUUGUGGGUCAUUGUCGGAAAAGAAUACUUAGCAUGAAUAUAGGUGCUUUCAUAUGAAGCUGGACAUGUUUACAAUGAUCGACCGGAUAUCGUUACACGUGUCUUGAAUAUGAAGUUUAAUGAUCUAUGAGAAGAUGUUAAAAGUGGACAUUUGUUUGGUACAAUUCAAGCAUAUUUAUACAUGGUGGAAUUACAAAAUAGAGGCUUGCAACGUAGGCUGCCAAAGUAGAGAGAGGAUUGAGGGAGGAACCCUACCAAAUGGAUAGGACGUGCGGGAGUUGUGGGCGCCAUAUUUGGUUGGCAUGGAAUUUGAUUUGAACCAAUGGCAGGCGUACUAUAUGCUAUUUUUUUUAUAUAAAUGGAGGUAUAAUAUUAUUUGGCCUCCCAUUUGGUAUGUCCAUAGCGUUGCUCCAUACUUAGCUAGGCUAUUCUACAUAUCGUCUGUCCUGGGCCGCCGGGCCUCUGCCCCGUUCGUCCGUGAUACAUUCCACCAAUAAAAAAACAAUGCCCUCCCAACCUGUCUGUGCGACCCGGCCCAACAAAUCAAACCCACC